rnacentral:rRNA from 1 species
GAUGAACGCUGGCGGCGUGCCUAAUACAUGCAAGUCGAGCGAACAGACGAGGAGCUUGCUCCUCUGACGUUAGCGGCGGACGGGUGAGUAACACGUGAAUAACCUACCUAUAAGACUGGGAUAACUUCGGGAAACCGGAGCUAAUACCGGAUAAUAUAUUGAACCGCAUGGUUCAAUAGUGAAAGACGGUUUUGCUGUCACUUAUAGAUGGAUCCGCGCCGCAUUAGCUAGUUGGUAAGGUAACGGCUUACCAAGGCAACGAUGCGUAGCCGACCUGAGAGGGUGAUCGGCCACACUGGAACUGAGACACGGUCCAGACUCCGACGGGAGGCAGCAGUAGGGAAUCUUCCGCAAUGGGCGAAAGCCUGACGGAGCAACGCCGCGUGAGUGAUGAAGGUCUUCGGAUCGUAAAACUCUGUUAUUAGGGAAGAACAAAUGUGUAAGUAACUAUGCACGUCUUGACGGUACCUAAUCAGAAAGCCACGGCUAACUACGUG